UAUUAUAGUUAUUUUUAAAUGAAGAAAUAUUUCAAAUUUUUCUUGGUUUCAAUUUCUAAUUAAAAAUUGAUAGGUACAACCUACAUGAACAAAAUGUUUAUUGAGGUCUUCAAUUUCUAAGAGUGUGAAGGUGUCCUGAAACCAAGAAGUCUGAGAACUGCUAGACUAGGUCAUUCCUUCCCCAAUGUUAUCCCCGAACACCUUUAUAACUUCUGUCAAAGUCGUGUUCUACCUGAGGACUACCACCUAUUUCUUUUCUUAGACACAUCUUUGUACUUUAUAAACUUCAUGUCCUUAUGGCAAAUGAAAAACCUGCCUGAAGUCUUUUAAAUAGACGAUACCCAUAACUACAGUGAAAGCAGAACACUGCUGUUUAACCUCCAGCAGGAUCCUGCUGCUUGCUGAAGGCUCUCGGCCUGAGGCCCUUCUCUCUUUGUUAACAAGGGGGAUAGUUCAGAGCUGUUAAGGAGGUACCAGCUCCAGCCUGAGACUUCUUUUUUGAGGUGCUCAGGCUGAAAGAGAGGAAGGAAUCACUUUCUGACUUGGUGAACCCAUGUUAGUAAAUGUGGUGACCCCGUUCACCAUCUCACCACUGACGCCAUCUCACCUCACAGACUGGCGGCACGUGCCCCUGUUUAGAGGGGCCCUGGGCAGGUGGUCUCUCAGGGCCCUCCAACCAGCACACGUAAGGCCUCCACCUGCUGAGGUGUGACUGAUGCGCAGUUGACCUUCUCAAGAGCGGGGAGGUGGGGCCUUAAGCUACAGCCAACACCUCUCAGUUAGAAAAUCAAGAAUUAUGAGUUUCUGCCAAAGGCUAGUGGUGGUGGAAGGCUGCCAGGGUUGGGGUUGAGGCGGGACCUCUGGGGUCACAGGCCGGGGCAGGCUAAGCCAACUAGCCCAGAGGACCAGAGCCUCCCCAGUGUCUACUGUGAGCCUUGGAGCUGGCAACACACACACAGACACACACACACACACACCUGCUCUGAACGCUGGCAGUCAAGGAGGAGCCCUAAGAGGCAAGAGCAGUAGCUAGUAUUUAGUGAGCACUUCCCAUGGGCUUUAUUUCAUUUAAUGUUCACAAGUAUUAUCAUUUUUCCCCUUCUAUAACCAGAGAAACCAAAGCUCAGAUGGGUUAGGAGACUGGCCUGGGUUCACCAAGCUAGCAAGUGGUAGAGCUGGGAUUAUCUCCAGCUGUCCGGCUCCAGCUCACGCUCUGCAGUCACCAUGCAGCAUGGCUUGCUCCCUGUUUUCGCCACUUCAUCUUGCAGGGGAAAACUGAGGCCUGAGUGAAGGAGGUGGGGCCUUGUCCAAGGUCACCCAGCAAUCCAAGGGCAGAGCCGGGCCCGGUCUCCUGACUUCUCCUUGAGGGCAGGGCCUGGGAGAGCUGGCAUCUGGGACACUCUUUUGCUGCCAUCAUUUGCUUUCUUCAGCCCUGCUGCUAAGGGGACAGAGCUCCCAGGGGUUCUGGCUGGUGCCCACCCUGGGGACCCAGUGUUAAUGAGUUGAUGCUGGCAGUGUUUACAUGAGGCAGGUGGGAUGGCGACAGCUGUAAAAAAUAAGGGUGACAAAUACUCCUGUCAACCAAAACAUGGGAGAGGCGGCGUGGCACCUGUGGCUGUGCACCAGCUGGGCCUGGCAGAGAGGUCCCGGCGGGCCACCCUAGGCAGGGCAGGAAGUAGAAAGCACAGUGGGGCCAGGCUGGAUGCCAGCUCCUCUGACGCUGGGAAGUGCCUGGCCAUGAGAGAGGAGCAGAGGCUAGGGGAGGCUCAGGCACAGCAAAGCCUCUAGGGGCCUGUCUCUCCUGCCAUAUCAGCAUGGGGGGAGGAUGGAGCACUGUAUCCCGCAGGGUCUGUGUCCAGCUCAGGCCAGGUGGCUGGGAGCUGCUCCAGCCUGAGUGCCCUAACAGCAGCAGCUUUCUCCAAUGCCUGGGAUCAGGUGCACGACCCCUCCUCCUCCCUUAGCCUAUGGCAUCUCCAUCUCCCUGACACUGGGUGACCAUGGGCAUGGGGUCAGGACAAGGUCCCAGCUGUACAGACCUGAGCAUGGGAGUGCCUGAGGCCUCAAUUCUGCCUUAUGCUGGGAACUGCUGCACAGGCCUCAUUGAGUGAGAGGGCCAGCAACGGAACCCCCUACCCAGUUGGCGAGGGGUGGUGCACUGGCUCAGGCUGGCCCUCACUCUUUGAAACUGCAGGGCCACAAACGAGGCCGCUUGGCGCCACCUGGGCUCAGGUUCAACUCCCUACUAAGGCAUUUCUAGCUUUCCUUUGCCUCUCUCUCUCCUCUCACCCCUUUUCCAUACCCAUUCUCCUCAGCCCUAGCGAGGGUAGAAGCCAGCCCAUACAGUACCUUUGCUGGAGUUAGAAAAAAGUUCUUUCCUCCAGGUUGCAUGGCUUGGCAAGGAGGUGGCGGUGUGGAUUUCAGCCCUCUCGUGACCCCUGGGUUAGGGACUCUCCUGCAGGCCACAGCCUGCCAAGCAACUGAGCUGGAGUUGAAGGAGUGUGAAUGUGAAGUGCACCAAUUCUGGGCCCAGGCUCUUAAGAUGUUAGUAUGUCCCCCAAAUACACAUGAUGACAAAGUUCUGUGGGAGGGGCGGCACCCUAAGAUGGAAGGAGCCGGUCCAUGAAUCAGCAUGUGGAGGAGAGCCACCCGCCCACGCAGAGCACCUGCCGUAGACUAUUAGAUGAGCAAGAAAUAACCUUCUGUUGCAUUUGAACCACGAAAUGUUGGGGUGUUUUUGUUGUCGCAGCUCAUGGUACCCUUACAAAUCUCCCCUGUUCGUGUUCUUCCUCUCCUGGUGUUGUUUCCUGUGUGACAUCUGGCCUCUGUUUAGCCCUAGAUUAUGGAUUAUCUGGCUGUUCUCUUCUAUUGAUUGCUUCAACAAGCAAUAAAUGGCCCUCUCACUCAGAUUGUAAGCUAGCGAAGGCUGGAGAUAAGUUUUCUGGAGUAUCAAAUAAUCUAUGCUCCCUGCCAUUCCCCCCAAAGGAGAAAGCUGUGUCCCACAGUGGUGUCCCCAAGGCUCAGUCACUCACACCCCUGCCCCUGCACGAUUUCUGCUCCCCACUGCAUCACAGAACACUGCACGGCACAGACGCAAUAAAUGAUGCUAAAUUUUUGCUGCGUUUACCUACCACCUGCACUAUAAUUUACUUAACAUUUCUCUUUAGACUUUCAUCUACUUAAACUUAUUUCAAAAGAAAGGAAAUUUAGUAUCACUAACAAUAUCUGUAAAAAAAUAUUGGAUAUGGUAGUUUUAAUCUUUUUCUCAUAUGUAUUAAAAUACGUUAAUAACUAUUAAGAUAAAAAUCAGCAUGUUCAUCCUUCACGCUAACUAAAAUACGCACUCUCCCUCGCUUUGGGAAGUGCCGCCCUGCAGUACAAGGCAGGCACAUGGCCAGCAUGAUCUAAGGGCUCAGAGCAGAAGGCAUAUACCCACGAGCAAUGAUUUGGGGUCAGGGCCCCCAGGCACGGGUCUGGGAAAAACUCACCUCACCUCCUCAUUCUGCACAGCCCUGACCCUCCUCCCACCAGCAGGGCCUUGGUUUGAAUCCCUGAAGACUGAAGAACUACCACUCUACCGGCAGUGUACACUGCUUGCUGGCAGGCAGCACGGGACCAGGGCAUGCCACAGGCUCUGGCUCCCACCAGCCACAGACCUCCUGUUUCCGUCUUUGUCCUGCAUCUCUCGGCGGUUCCCUGGUUUUGGUUUCAGGAGGGAAUGAGCUCAGUGGUGGUUCCAGCAUCCAGAGCGCGUGGCAUUCUCAAGGGAAGGGCAUCCAUGCCUCCCCUUUUCCUGAGGGGGAGGAAUGGCAACAACGAGUCUGCCCAUGUUCCCCCCACCACCUCCCAACCCCCGGCAGACAACCUAAUGCCUCAUCUUUGUUGAAAGACGAUUGCCCCAAAUUGCCUGGACACAGAUGCAGGGGAGCCAGGGUCACUGGCCUGUCAAGGACUUUGUUGUCGUGUUGACUUCUGGGUCUCCUAGCUGCCAACGUCCUCUUAGAAGGGAAGGUGAGUGCCCAGCCCCCAGGCCAGCAGGGAGAAGGGAAGGAUACCCGCCCUGCUCGCUGGUCCCCAGCAGCAUGCGGCUGAGCAGGAACAUGCCCUCCAGCGAGGUGGGCUGUCCCCCAGGCGGGGGCUGUACAGCUCUUCCCUCUGCCUGCCUGUGGGGAGGCCAGGAUGACCUAUUCCUGGGGUCUCUGAAACCAAAGCCAGGACUGCCCCCUCCCAAGACUCUAACGCUCUACCCAGCCACCAAACGAACUUCAGUGAAACCCCCAAGAGGAAAACCACUGCGCUCUUCAUCCACAUUAGAUUUCACUGAAAAGGAAACCCAGGAGAGAUGGAUCACGGGCAGAGCAGUCACAGAGGAGCUGAAAUGUCCCAGGUGUGUGCCGCUUAACCUGCCUGCCCUGGAUGCCUCCAGAGCGAAUGCAGAAGAGUGUGCUGGCUCUGCUCCAGCAGAGGGGGACAGUGUCCUCCCUUGGUGCCUACCUACGUCAGUUCUGCAUACGUGUAGAACACACAUGCAGGGGCAGGUCAGCUCACCAAUCCCAGCCAGUCUGAGAUGGGUGGUCAGUGAAAUUCUGAAACUGAGUCAUGCACAGUAUAGCGCUGUUUACAGAGGGAAAGACAUCUGUUUUAUUAACUAAAUUUCAAAUCUUCUAAUAUUCCUCCUAAGAAGUUGUCUGGUUUGGGAUGUCGCAAGUGAAAACUGAAGAAAGAACAUGAACUACAGAAAAAUGGAGAAUGUUUGCCUAAGAGAGGAAAAAGAAAAAAAGGAAUUCGUAACCUUACUUUUGAGCCUAACUCAGUAAUUACGUCCACACGGGCUCCUUCUCCCCUGAGGGAAUGUGAGGAACCAGUCUUCUCUUGUUACAGAUGACGGACAUAAAAGCCAGCUCCCAAAAAGUUAAAAUGUGACGUCAAGUUCACUGCAUCUCAUAUAUCCCUUAUUGUGAACAAUAAAGAAAAAAUUUUCAUUAAUAGAAAGUCAGGCUCUCUCUGGGCCCAGUGAAUAAACGGUGAACACCAUCUCAAGAGUACCAGCUUGAAGAGGGACCAGUGAUCUGCCUGCCUGGGAUGGCCACAGGUCUUGGUCAGCCCUGGAGACAAGACUGGAAUUUGGGGCAAGGACUUCAGCAAGGAGUGAAGAGAACCAAGUGCUAGCACUGUGGGCAAAGCCCCUGAGGGUCAAGUGAGGCAGAGACAAGGGGCUCACGGAAGUCUGGGGUUGCGGGAUCGCUGCCCCCAUGAUGAGGUGGCACCGAGUGUGGCCCUGACUACCUGCUAGGGUUAUGGGUUACCAGGUCUCUCCGCUGGAUCCUGAGCCCCUAUGUCAGGCCCCAUCUUGCACCCAGGAUCUACCAGAGAGCUGGGCACACAGUAGGUGCUGGGGCACAUCUACUGGAUGAAUGAACUUGGCACGGAAAGCACCAAAAAGCAGAAGACUUGGCGUGCAAAAUAGGUGUUCUCUCCUCUGUGGCCUUCCAGGUCACUUUCCCCUGCCGGUCUCUGUAAAACAAGGGAGCUACACUGGGUAAACCAGAGAUGGGAAGCUGGCUUCAACUUGAGGGCCAGCUCUCAUCAACAGUAAUGGCUGCCUGGGGUACUGGCUAUCCUGAGAGGACUCUGAGGCUAGGGUCAGUGCUGUGACUGAUGAACAGUGACUGCCAGGGACAAGGGCUGGUGGUCAACAAUAGCACAUAAGCCACAUCUGUCCACCCUGUGGGUGUGAUCAUCUCUGAGGUCGUUGUCAACCAUCACACUUCGUGAUGCUGCAACAAGCACGCAAGUACUUAAAAUGUCUGAGUCAUGAGGUGGCUCCCCUGCCCCAGGUGAAAUCACUACCCAAGGCCUCGCCACCUAAGGCGCUGACUCAGCUCUGCCUCCUCUAGGGGUUUUCCCAGCCUUUCCCAUGUCUGUGUCCAUGUAGAAAAUGAUGGCAUCUGUACACACCUUCGGUAAACAGAGGAGACAACCUGUAACCCACAGGCAUACCUGUAACCCCUUUUGUGUGCCAGGACAUGCUGGUGGAGAGUCCCUGCUCUGGGAAGGCUCUGCACCAGCUUCCAUACCUGGCUCUCCUCUGAGGCCCUCACUGGGUUCUGAAUCGCACCAGUUAGUUGCUCAAUGGGCUUGUGUGUGUCAGUCGUGAAAACAAGACUGUGAUCGCUCCGGGGGCGGGAGCUGUCUUAUUCUGGAGCACUCCACCUCAGCCGUGGGACGGGACACAGAGCCGGCACACAAAGGCAGGGGUGAAAUCAUGUGAAAGUGUCCAGAAGUGGCAGAAUUAGUGGUCCAAGGCUGCUUACUCCUGUGGCCCUUCUCCACUGACCCCACCUUGACUGACAUUGGAAGUCCUAUUUCAGGCCAGGGAGAGUUCCAGAGGUGGUGUCCAGAUGUACAUGAGCUGAGGCCAGGGAGCAAGAUGGCGUGCAUCGGGUGUCACAGCAUUUUAUCUUCCCAGAAAAAUUUUAGGUGGAAUUAUUUAUAGACAUAAAAAAGUGUUUUUCCAUGAUUCAUUCAAUUAAUUAUAAUGCAGUUGUUUUUAAUAAUUUAGGACACAUAAGAAAAGGGAAAUGUCAGGGCAAGCCGUAAAUACGAAGUUGAGGACACAGGUUGGGUGAGGAAUCCAUAUACCCAGUGAUGAUGUCAGGCACAUGGCAACGACGCCUGACAGCAGGCACGUUGGCGGCUGCUUGUGCUCAAGGCGCUUUCUGAGCAGCAUCAGGGCUGAACCCCCAUCACACACACAGGGCACUGCUGACCACAGAGAGGAGCUUGACUUGCAUUCCAAGUGUGGUGGGAAGCCAUGCGAGGACUUAAAAAAGGGGAGAGAAAUGAUGCUCCGUUUUUGAAAGCUCACUCUGGCUGCUGUUUGCAGCCAGACUGGGUGUGGGGGACUGGAAGAGUGGCCACAGAAAGAACACAAGGAGGCUACUGCAGUCAUCAGAUGAGAGAUGAUGGAGGUGUGGAACAUCAAAGCUGGAAGAGCCCUGAGAAAUGAUGCCGUCUACGCUCCCUUGUCAUACAACUUGGAAAACUGAGGCACAGAGAGGUGGGAGCUAGCUCAAGGUUACAGGGUUGCUGGUGGCUCAGCUGGUGGCACCCAGCAAAGAGGAGGAGCAAGCUCAGGCUGGCCAGGAAGCAGGCCUUGAAGGAGGGAAGGAGCAGGGGGUGGUGAAAACCCUUUAAGGAGAGGCCACAGUUUGAAUGGCCAGUCAGCCAGGGCCCAGGGAACCUCAGUCUGCCUGGGCUGGCACUGGGGUCUCCGAGAACUCAACAUCGCAGGUGGGAAGGGGGUGUUAGUGGGGCUAGAAAGAGCAGACUCUGAGCUCCCGGGCCACACCCACACUUCCAGACAGCAACACUGUGAGAGUAAGAGGACUGUGGAACCAGACCGACAGAGCCUCUCUGAGUCUCAGUAUCUGCAUCUGUCAAAUGGGGAUGAUAACAGAAGGUACCUCAUGGGAGGCUGUGAGUUUAAAAGAGUUACGCAGUCAAGUGCUCAGCGUGACACACAGUGAUAAGUCAACAUAACGGCCACUAUGCUUGAUUAAUUAUAUAUAUCCAGAACUGCUCUGACCAAACCCCUCAGUCCGCAGGAUGCUUUAGUUGCAUUCUACUUGGAAGAAACGCACAGCAAAACAAGUACAAGUCAGGGGUUUGGUUAAAAAUAACUCACCAACACAAAAAAUCACAACCAAAAAAGAAAAAUUUCCCUGUGCACACAUAACAAUAAUGAAAAAAAUUACCUGCUUCUGUGAUAAGCACUUCGAGUGUCAACAGAAAAACAGCCUUACCUUCUACAGCCUCUUCAUCCCCAGGAUAAGUAACUGAGAGCACGGCAGAGGAAAAUAAAGUCUAAGAGGCAACUGGUCCAAGGCCCCAGAGUGGGGUGUGUCUAAAUCUUUCUGACGCCCAAAGCCUAUGCUUUUGGCUCUACCACACUGCUCUGUUAGAGCCUUCAUCCUCAAAAGCACAUCCAAGUCACCCCAAUAUACGUAAUGAAGUGUGUCACACCAUGAAUUUCUCGGAGGGUUGGUCAAGUGUAUUGCUAAAGUGGGCCUAAGCUCCACUUUCUAGACCACUGUAGCCAUUUGAUAUUGUUAGCCGGGUCCAAGCAUUAACCACUGUCAACGUCAGCUGGCAUGGGUUCAUACUGGCCACACAGGCUCACAGCUGAGCUCUCAGAAUCUGAGGGACCGUGGCCUUGCACCGGGCCGAGAGAGAUGAUGCCCAUCGGCAGGGAGUGGGUUGGUGAGAACUGUUAGCUUACGGGACCAGUACUGGCCAGUGUCAGGCUUCUGGAACCAAAACUGUUGUUUGCUGCAACUUUGACAAGUUAGCGGGAGACAAGUUAAACUCUCUAAUUUGUAAAACGAGGUUUAAGGAAAAUUCCUCACAUUGGUGGUUCAACUGGCAGUUCUGAAGGAGUCCAAGAAAACUCAGGAAGCUCUGUGGGACUGCCAGAGACACGCCAGCACCUCUGUCAAGGGCUCCUGCGUCAAAAGCAGGAGUGGGAUUUUCAGACCUAUUUGCAUAAAAGUUUAUAUUUUAAAAAAUAUUCUUUUUUGCUUCUCAGGGAUAAGAAAAUAGGGAAUCACUCCAUUUUACACAUGAGAAAAAUGAAGUCUGGAGAGGCCAGUGUUCUACUCAGUGAGGCAUCUGGAGGCAGGUAACCCUAGAUCUUGGUCUUGGCUCUGCCACUGACCAUCUGUGUGAGCUCACCAAGCCUUAACAUUCCAAUCCAUUAUAGUCCCAACUGCUCGGUGCCGUGAGGCCUUUUAGGACAGUGCCUGCCACGCGGUGAGCAGUCAGUAGAUGUCAGCUGGUCCUAUGUCACACAGCUGGCCAACGGGAAGGAACUUGGGUCCCAGAACCAGCUCUGACUCUGACCUGGAGCCCCAGCCAGCCCCCGUCACAGGCUCUGCUCGCUUUGCCAGUGGCACCUGAACAGGCAAGGCACUUCAGCUGGAGAUCAAGGUUUGCCCUCCAGUCCCCACCUGCCUCGGGCCCUUGCAGUUGGGGUCCAGCAGGCUGUCGUUUCUGGCCAGCCCUGCAGGUUCUGGGGAAAGGGGACCACCUGGACAGAGCACCUCAGGGGCUCUGGUCUUUGGAGCCCUUGACCCUGGGCCCAGCAUCUGUGUAUCCCCAGGGAGGGCUGCCAGCAAUCAGAGCCCAGCCACGCUACUGAGGCUGCUCCGGAGUGACCAGUGAGCCACUUCUGCGUCCCUGCUCAUGCAGGCGUCCUUGAACGCAGCCUUGUGGACGGCCACUAUCAUUCCACUCUGCAUGGGAAACAAAUGCCUCUCUCUUCAAAGCUGAAGGACUUUGCUUAGAUGAGUUCCAUUCCGGAGCCCGUUGCCCUGGCAACAGGCCUUUGGGGGAUUUACAUCUUAUGCAUCACAACAGGGGAACAGCCAUUCAGCAAGUUGAGGGGGGGUGUAAAAAACCCCACAACACAAAACCAAUGUGCCUCCUCCCCCACCCAGAGUGCAGCCACAAAACAAACCGGAAUCAACAACAGAAAUCUCCCACAAGCCCAUUUGGCCUUGGCUGGCUAUCAGCCAAACAGGAAUUCAAACUUAAUCAAACUUUCAUGCCUUCCUUGUAAAGCUCAGGAAAUCAGUAAUUGGUUUUGUAAUUGAAUUUUCUGAUCACGUAUCAAAGGACUGGGUCCUGCCAAAGGCCAAGGAAUGGACUGUCUCCAGUAAGGACAGCCAAGGUCCCUGAUGGAGGCUCUGGAAGGUAGGGGAGGAGAACUAACUGCUGGUGGGCUAAGAAUAGAGCUGCUAUUUAUAACCAGAGGAGGAGCGACAGACAGCUGAGCCUUGCCCUCACAAAGUGGUCUCCCCUCAACGUCCACCCCAGCAGCCGCCGGUUUCUGAUUCAGAAAGGAAGAUUUUGGCAAUGGCGGCUGCGGCACGCAGGGUGGGAGACGGGGGAGACAGAAGACAGGGAGACCAUCUCGAAAGGAGCUAUUCCAAGAGCGUGCAGAGGAAGGAGCCCGGCUGGGGCAGGGGCCUGGCAGAGGGAGGAAGGGGCUGAUGCAGGAGCCAUUCUGAAACAGGAAGUGGCACACAGGAGGGGAAGGAGGAGUCCAGGGUUUUCAGCCUGAGUAACCGGAGGAAGGAGUGUUUUCAGUAUAAGGCAGGAGGGUGGAGGAAGCCAGCUUCGUGAGGCUGGGUUUUGCACAGUCUGGGGUUUGGGGGCUGACGAGCCUUAGCAACGAGACUGCCAACUGGUGCAGUUCAGCUUCUGUGUGCCCUCGCCAGGUGCUUUACCAUCAGCACCUCAUUUAAUCUUCAUAACAGCUCAAGGAGAUCAUCGUUUACUGUUCCCAUUUUACAAUCUGGAAAAUCAAGGCUCAGAGAACAGAGGUGAAGGAUCUGCUCACACGUGAGCCUUGGAGUGGGGACUUCGACCCAGGACUGUCUGAUCCCAGAGUCCACAAGUUCAGCUCCAAUGCCAUCCCACCACUCUACCUGCAGAUAAAGGUAUCUCCCAGCCAAACAGAAAUAAUCAGAAAAGGGUUCCUAACACUCAAAGAGGGGUCUGAGCUAGAGCUGAGACCUUGAGAGUCAGCGAUCAACAUCCGUUCACUAAUUCACUUUAAAAUGUUCAAAAGCAGGCCACAGACUGAGAAAAUAUUCACAAUGCACAUACCUGACAAAGCACUUGUAUCUGGGAUGUAUUUUUAAUAAAAAACUCUCAUAACUCAUUAACAAGAGGACAAGCCAUUAAAAAGGAAGAAUAAAAAAUGUGAACAGAUACUUCACAAAAGAGGUAUUAUAUAAAUGGCCAAAAAGCAC